rnacentral:rRNA from 1 species
AUCAAAGGUGAGCCAGUACAGGAUGGACCCGCGUCUGAUUAGCUAGUUGGUAAGGUAACGGCUUACCAAGGCGACGAUCAGUAGCCGACCUGAGAGGGUGAUCGGCCACAUUGGAACUGAGACACGGUCCAAACUCCUACGGGAGGCAGCAGUGGGGAAUAUUGCACAAUGGGCGAAAGCCUGAUGCAGCAACGCCGCGUGAGGGAUGAAGGCCUUCGGGUCGUAAAACUCUGUCCUCAAGGAAGAUAAUGACGGUACUUGAGGAGGAAGCCCCGGCUAACUACGUGCCAGCAGCCGCGG